rnacentral:piRNA from 1 species
UGAUAGGUAACAGACGUCUGAAGGGCU